rnacentral:antisense_RNA from 1 species
CUUGACCGAGCCGAGCCAGAGCGGCUGGUCCGCCGGCCGACCCUGCCCGUACGUCGACAGCAGGGCCUGGGCCUC